AUUCCAGCUCCAGUAGCGUAUAUUAAAGUUGUUGCAGUUAAAAAGCUCGUAGUUGGAUUUCUGGUUUCACAGAACUGGCCUACUUCCUCAAGGUCGUGUGCGCCGUGUUUUGUGUACCAUCCUUCUAGAAAUUGUGUUCCAUCCCUUCACUGGGAUAGAUCCGAGAUCUAGAUCUUUUACUUUGAAGAAAUUAGAGUGUUCAAAGCGGGCUCGCGCUGUGAAUACAUUAGCAUGGAAUAAUAAUUUAGGACUUGGUAUCCUAUUUUGUUGGUUUUCAGGAUCUAAGUAAUGAUUGAUAGGGAUAGUUGGGGGUGCUAGUAUUUUGCGGCCAGAGGUGAAAUUCUGUGAUUCGCGAAAGACUAACUUAUGCGAAAGCAUUCACCAAGGAUGUCUUCAUCA
rnacentral:rRNA from 1 species